CAUUAUUGAAUUAAUAGUUGGUAGUGCUGAUGCUGGUGGUCAAACACAUGUGCUCGCUCUGCCACUUAUUAUUACCUUUCCACCUGUGAACUAUUGUAGAUGUUGAAGGUCACCUCUCAAGCUUCAUUGCUUGGUCUGGCGUUUGCCGGCUUCCUUCAGUUGAAGUCCGCUCUCCCUGCCAACUUCAAUGGCUAUCUCUACCUAUACCCAUUAAAAGUAUCAGAAGGACUUGAUUGGGCUUCAUUGCCUAUAAAUCAAUUAUACAACUUUCAGCAACGGAUCUCUUGGCUCUCCCAUCCAUGAAGAACGCAGCGAAUUGCCAUAAGUAAUGUGAAUUGCAGAAUUCAAUGAAUCAUCCAAUCUUUGAACGCACCUUGCGCUCUUUGGUAUUCCCAAGAGCAU
rnacentral:misc_RNA from 1 species